GUCGUGAUAUUCCUGUAGCUUUUGUAACACGGUCAUUAUUCACGGUCAUUCAUGCGCAUUAUUAAUUUGGGAGUACUGUACUCAGUCACGUAAUGUUCCACUAAACCUUUUUGGUGA